rnacentral:rRNA from 1 species
AUGGAUUGGUGUGCAGAUGUUUUAACAGCAGAAGCCACGACACUACGUUUUGGCUUAUUACUUGCACAAAAGGCGGAAAGUAACCGACUUGUUGUUAACUCCGACAAUAUGGAAGUAAUUGACACGGUGAAGAAUGGAGGACAUACAGCGGGAGCGGCGGCAGCUGUGUUUGAUGAUUGUUAUUUUUUGGCUUGUGAUUUUUCGUUAGUUAGAUUUGAACGUUGUAAUAGGAAUGCAAAUAAAGUAGCUCAUGAAGUUGCUAGAGUAGCCAAAUUUUCUGAGACAAGGGGUUGGUUUGGGGAACCUAUGAACGAUACUGUAAAUUUUCUUAUAAACUAUGUAACCAUUAUUACUAAUAAAUAA